rnacentral:rRNA from 1 species
GACGUAGGAUGCAAGCGUUUGUCCGGAUUUAUUGGGCGUAAAGGAGUUCGUAGGUGGUUUGUUAAGUCUGAUGUUAAAGACUGGGGCUCAACCUCGGAAAUGCAUUUGGAUACUGGCAGACUUGAGUGUGGUAGAGGCAAUCGGAAAUUCCAGGUGUAGCGGUGAAAUGCGUAGAUAUCGGAAGAACACCGGUGGGCGCAAGCGGAUUGCUGGGCCUAAACUGACACUGAGGGAACGAAAAGCCUAGGGGAGCGAAUGGG